UCUCUUCUUUUCUCUCUCUUCCUCCUCUCAUUCUGCUCUCUCCUCUUCAAACCCGAAACCCAUUCAAUUUCAAUACUUCCUUCCUCUCUAUCUCAGGUUUGCACUAUAGCUGGGUUUGGUUCAUGGUCACAGCAUGGAGAUCGGUGGAUCGGUGUGUCGGUGAAUCAUGGGUCAGGUGGUGGCGCGGGUUUGGAUCGGUGGAGAUUGGUGGGUCGCUCAAGAUCGCCGAUGAUGGGUCGCUCAAGAUCGCCGAUGAGAGUGGUGGUGGUGGUGGUGUUGACUGUUUUUUGACCGUGGUUGCAAGGUUUGCUUUUGACUGUUUGGUGUGUGAGACAAAAAUAUUGUGGGUUUUUUUUUUUCUGUUUUGGUUUGGGUGUUAGGGGAAAUUCUUGAUAUAAACGAAAAUUUGUGUGAAUUAAUGUGAAAGUUGAUUGAUUUAGAUUUGA